GACCGCUCCGGUGGCCUAAAUGGUUAUAACGCUCGCCUCGGAUGCGAAAGGUCGCGUGUUCGAACCCCGACCGAGUUA